GUGAGUUUUUAAAUGUUGAUGUGAGUUUUUAAUUGUUGCCGUGAGUUUUUAAAUAGUUGCCGUGGGCUUUUGAAAUGUUGUUGUUAAUUUAUAAAAGUUGCUGUGCAUUUGUAAUGUUGCCAUAUAUUUUGAAUGUUGUCUAGCUAACAUCGCUGACGUAAGUUGCCGUGACACUUAUAGGCCACCGUACUUUUACUUCCACAUCUGUCAGACGAAAACAAAGAAAGACUACGUACAAAGAGAGAAGCAAAGGAAUCGUUUUUGGAAAUAAAUCUAACAUGUGAAUGACGACAAACACACGCCAUGGAGUUAUUGGUAAUGAUG